CCCUUAGAUGUUCUGGGCCGCACGCGCGCUACACUGACGAAUGCAACGAGCUUAUAACCUUGGCCGAAAGGUCUGGGUAAUCUCCAAAUUUCGUCGUGAUGGGGAUAGAUUAUUGCAAUUAUUAAUCUUCAACGAGGAAUGCCUAGUAAGUGCAAGUCAUCAGCUUGCGUUGAUUACGUCCCUGCCCUUUGUACACACCGCCCGUCGCUCCUACCGAUUGAAUGAUCCGGUGAAGCGCUCGGACCGCGGCCUCUUGACGGUUUUCCGUCGAUUGGCUGUGGGAAGUUCGUUAAACCUUAUCAUUUAGAGGAAGGAGAAGUCGUAACA
rnacentral:rRNA from 1 species